rnacentral:tRNA from 1 species
GCCCGGCUAGCUCAGUCGGUAGAGCAUGACACUUAAUCUCAGAGCCGUGGGUUCGAGCCCCACGUUGGACA